UGAGAAGCCAAUAGUAGCAUUCAUUGCCGGUCUUACAGCUCCACCCGGUCGUCGUAUGGGUCAUGCUGGAGCUAUUGUAUCAGGAGGAAAGGGUACUGCCCAGGACAAAAUCAAGACCCUGAGGGCAGCUGGGGUUACCGUGGUCGAGUCUCCAGCUAAGAUUGGUGUUGCCAUGCUAGAAUGUUUCAAGAAGCGAGGCCUCUUGAAGGAUUAGGUUCUGCACCCAAUCUCUUUUUUCUUGUUACUACGGGGUGUACGGAUUUCACAGAAUUCCGGAAGCAGUUUUUGUUUUCUGAAUUUGCUUUGUCAAUAAUUGGAGUUGGUUUUGUAAACACACCUAGCGACAGUCCUUCAAUUGCAAGCCUGUUCUGGAGGAAAUUAUA